rnacentral:rRNA from 1 species
GCGGUUUGGGAUCAUUAUGCCAGCAUCCUUGAUAAAAUCGCAGUCCUCGGUCUAGGCAGGCAGCAUCAACGCAGGCUAUAACACUUCACCGAAGCAAAGUCACAUUCCUACGCCAUUAUCCUACCGCCCAAACCGAUGCUGGCCCGAUAAGCUGCGGGUCACCCCGCCACGAAGGCAAGGCUCACAAAAUAUCGAGUCUGAUCUCAAACCCUUCCCUUUCAACAAUUUCACGUACUUUUUCACUCUCUUUUCAAAGUUCUUUUCAUCUUUCCAUCACUGUACUUGUUCGCUAUCGGUCUCUCGCCAAUAUUUAGCUUUAGAUGGAAUUUACCACCCACUUAGAGCUGCAUUCCCAAACAACUCGACUCUUCGAAAGCACCUUACAUAGGAUUGGGCAUCUCAUCGCACGGGAUUCUCACCCUCUGUGACGUCCUGUUCCAAGAAACAUAGACAAGAGCCAACCCCAAGGUUACAAUCUUCAAAUUACGACUCGGACACCGAAGGUGCCAGAUUUCAAAUUUGAGCUUUUGCCGCUUCACUCGCCGCUACUAAGGCAAUCCCUGUUGGUUU